rnacentral:tRNA from 1 species
UGUUCUGUGGCUUAGCUGGUUACAGCGCCGGUUUAGCGAAUACAAAGUAGUGGGUUCGAAUCCCACCAGAACGC